rnacentral:rRNA from 1 species
AUUGAACGCUGGCGGCAGGCCUAACACAUGCAAGUCGAGCGGAUGAAGGGAGCUUGCUCCUGGAUUCAGCGGCGGACGGGUGAGUAAUGCCUAGGAAUCUGCCUGGUAGUGGGGGAUAACGUCCGGAAACGGGCGCUAAUACCGCAUACGUCCUGAGGGAGAAAGUGGGGGAUCUUCGGACCUCACGCUAUCAGAUGAGCCUAGGUCGGAUUAGCUAGUUGGUGGGGUAACGGCCUACCAAGGCGACGAUCCGUAACUGGUCUGAGAGGAUGAUCAGUCACACGGGAACUGAGACACGGUCCAGACUCCUACGGGAGGCAGCAGUGGGGAAUAUUGGACAAUGGGCGAAAGCCUGAUCCAGCCAUGCCGCGUGUGUGAAGAAGGUCUUCGGAUUGUAAAGCACGUUAAGUUGGGAGGAAGGGCAGUAAGUUAAUACCUUGCUGUUUUGACGUUACCAACAGAAUAAGCACCGGCUAACUUCGUG